UUUGUACUCCCUCCGUUUGAAAUUACUUGUCGUAGAAAUGGAUGUAUCUAGAUGUAUUUUAGUUCUAGAUACAUCCAUAUUCGAGACAAGUAAUUCCGAACGGAGGGAGUACAAU
rnacentral:pre_miRNA from 1 species